rnacentral:rRNA from 1 species
CGUGCAGGCGGCUGAGUAAGUCAGAUGUGAAAGCCUUCCGCUUAACGGGAGAAGUGCAUUUGAAACUACCCGGCUUGAGUUCGGGAGAGGAGAGUGGAAUUCCCGGUGUAGAGGUGAAAUUCGUAGAUAUCGGGAGGAACACCGGUGGCGAAGGCGGCUCUCUGGCCCGAUACUGACGCUGAGACGCGAAAGCGUGGGGAGCAAACAGGAUUAGAUACCCUGGUAGUCCACGCCGUAAACGAUGGGCACUAGGUGUAGGAGGUAUUGACCCCUUCUGUGCCGAAGCUAACGCAUUAAGCGCCCCGCCUGGGGAGUACGGCCGCAAGGCUAAA